CUUCCCAGACUGGAGAGCAUCCGAGGGAGGACCACCUGAAGGCUCAUUCGAAACGCGCGUUCCCAGGCCCCGCCCUCGGGCGCGGAAUCCGCAGGUGCGUGCCGGCGCCCCGGCUCCAGUGCUCUCCGACACCUCCCAGUGCCCUACGAGAGAUACCGAAACUGGACACCUGUGAUGUUCAUCCAUUUAAAUGUUUUCCUGCUGUUUGUGUCUAUUCUCAUCUGCUCGUUUGUGUAUGUUUAGAAUAAUAAAAUUACACAUAUUUAAAGUC